AACCCUCCUCUCCCUCUUACGACGCCGAGCAGCGCCGAAGCCUCCUCCUCCCCAACCGACGCUCCGAACCCGUUUUCCUUUCUCUGCGCGAAACCAAUCACCGCCGCUCGCCACCCAUUGUCAUCACCGGCAGAGCUUCCCUUCUCCCGUCGCCGUCGAUCCUCGCCUCACGAGCGCUGCCCUCCUACCCCGAUUCACCGCCGCCCGAUUGACGACGGGGUCAAGCACCAACACGGAUCUAUCAUCAUCUCCUUUGUGUUGUGCCCCAUUCCAGCAUGACCAGCCUCCCGAUCCUGACAUUGCUGCUGUGUUGACGCAGAUCCACCCAACACCGUGCCUAGCCUUCAUAGUUUUUCCCCUUUCUUCCACUCUCGCUCAAACCGUCGCCAAAUGUCUAUGGUGUAGCCAACAUCGAUGCUCUAAAUCCUUUGCUUUUGUUCCCGUAAGCAAACAUAUCAAGUGCUAUAGGUGAUUUGUUGGGAGUUAGGGUGUUGAUUUGAAGGUUCUAGUGGAUUCUCUUGCCAACUCUACUGCUAAGGCACAAAAGCGCAUCCUAGAUCACAAGCACUAAAAAGAAGAGGCCCUUAACAUUCGUGUAAUUAAAGGCAAUGAAGUCAGGGAAGUUGAGAAGGAAUUGCUCUAUAAGAUCGAGGAACUAGAGAA